rnacentral:rRNA from 1 species
CCUACGGGUGGCAGCAGUGAGGACUAUUGGUCAAUGGGCGCGAGCCUGAACCAGCCAAGUCGCGUGAGGGAGGACGGCCCUACGGGCGUUAAACUUCUUUUGUGCGGGAGCAAUAAUUGUCACGUGUGUCCAGACGCGCGUACCGUACGAAUAAGCAUGGGCUAACUCCGUGCCAGCAGCAGCGGUAAUCCGGGGGUUGCAAGCGUGAUCCGGAUUUAUUGGGUUGAAAGGGUGCGUAGUCUGUGAGGUGAGUCAGCGGUGAAAUGCCCCCGCUCAACGGGGUGAAGUGCCAUUGAUACUGCCUUGCUGGAAUGCGGAUGCCGUGGGAGGAAUGUGUGGUGUAGCGGUGAAAUGCAUAGAUAUCACACAGAACACCGAUUGCGAAGGCAUCUCACGAAGCCGCGAUUGACGCUGAUGCACGAAAGCGUGGGUAUCAAACAGGAUUAGAUACCCGAGUAGUC